AGCGAACGCUGGCGGCAGGCCUAACACAUGCAAGUCGAACGAACCCUUCGGGGUUAGUGGCGGACGGGUGAGUAACACGUGGGAACGUGCCUUUAGGUUCGGAAUAACUCAGGGAAACUUGUGCUAAUACCGAAUGUGCCCUUCGGGGGAAAGAUUUAUCGCCUUUAGAGCGGCCCGCGUCUGAUUAGCUAGUUGGUGAGGUAAAGGCUCACCAAGGCUACGAUCAGGAGCUGGUCUGAGAGGAUGACCAGCCACAUUGGGACUGAGACACGGCCCAAACGCCUACGGGAGGCAGCAGUGGGGAAUCUUGCGCAAUGGGCGAAAGCCUGACGCAGCCAUGCCGCGUGGAUGAUGAAGGUCUUAGGAUUGUAAAAUCCUUUCACCGGUGAAGAUAAUGACUGUAGCCGGAGAAGAAGCCCCGGCUAACUUCGUGCCAGCCGCCGCUGUAACAC
rnacentral:rRNA from 1 species